GUUGAACGCUGGCGGCAUGCCUUACACAUGCAAGUCGAACGGCAGCAUGGAGAGCUUGCUCUCUGAUGGCGAGUGGCGAACGGGUGAGUAAUGCAUCGGAACGUACCGUGUAAUGGGGGAUAACGUAGCGAAAGUUACGCUAAUACCGCAUACGACCUGAGGGUGAAAGCAGGGGAUCGCAAGACCUUGCGUUAUACGAGCGGCCGAUGUCAGAUUAGCGAGUUGGUGAGGUAAAGGCUCACCAAGGCGACGAUCUGUAGCGGGUCUGAGAGGAUGAUCCGCCACACUGGGACUGAGACACGGCCCAGACUCCUACGGGAGGCAGCAGUGGGGAAUUUUGGACAAUGGGGGCAACCCUGAUCCAGCCAUGCCGCGUGAGUGAAGAAGGCCUUCGGGUUGUAAAGCUCUUUCGGCCGGGAAGAAAUCGCACAGGCUAAUACUCUGUGUGGAUGACGGUACCGGCAUAAGAAGCACCGGCUAACUACGUGCCAGCCGCCGCAGUAA
rnacentral:rRNA from 1 species